rnacentral:rRNA from 1 species
UACGAAGGGGGCUAGCGUUGCUCGGAAUCACUGGGCGUAAAGCGCACGUAGGCGGAUUGCUAAGUCAGGGGUGAAAUCCCGGAGCUCAACUCCGGAACUGCCUUUGAUACUGGCGAUCUUGAGUCCGGGAGAGGUGAGUGGAACUGCGAGUGUAGAGGUGAGAUUCGUAGAUAUUCGCAAGAACACCAGUGGCGAAGGCGGCUCACUGGCCCGGUACUGACGCUGAGGUGCGAAAGCGUGGGGAGCAAACAGG